rnacentral:sRNA from 1 species
CCCUAGCCCCGAUUGAAGUGUAAAUCCUUUUUAUUUUUUCCUAGAAGGAAAAAUAAAAAGAUUGCAACGGAAAGCGGGAAAAAGC